CCCAGACUCCUACGGGAGGCAGCAGUGAGGAAUAUUGGUCAAUGGGCGGAAGCCUGAACCAGCCAAGUCGCGUGAGGGAUUAAGGCCCUAUGGGUCGUAAACCUCUUUUGUCAGGGAGCAAUGGCGUCCACGUGUGGGCGUAUGGAGAGUACCUGAAGAAAAAGCAUCGGCUAACUCCGUGCCAGCAGCCGCGGUAAUACGGAGGAUGCGAGCGUUAUCCGGAUUUAUUGGGUUUAAAGGGUGCGUAGGCGGACGCUUAAGUCAGCGGUAAAAUUGCGGGGCUCACCCUCGUCGAGCCGUUGAAACUGGGUGCCUUGAGUGGGCGAGAAGUACGCGGAAUGCGUGGUGUAGCGGUGAAAUGCAUAGAUAUCACGAAGAACCCCGAUUGCGAAGGCAGCCUGCCGCAGCGUUACUGACGCUGAAGCUCGAAAGCGCGGGUAUCGAACAGGAUUAGAUACCCCGGUAGUA
rnacentral:rRNA from 1 species